rnacentral:tRNA from 1 species
GGAGGGGUAGCGAAGCAUGGUCAAACGCGCAGGACUCAAGAUCAAAUUAGGUGAUCCCGUCCCUUAGGGGUUCGUGGGUUCGAAUCCCACCCCCUCCA